GCACCGGGGCGGGACAUUCCCGCCUCCCGCCGCCUUCCCGCCGCCCUCCCGCCGCCUUCCCGCAGCCCCUCGCUCCGGGGAAGCGCCGAGGGACGGCCCCCUGCCCGCCCCGCCCCCGGCCGUGCCCGGCCGCCGCUCUCCGCCGCCGCGGGGGAAAGGCCGCUGCGCGCCCAACUUCACUUCAAGCAACUUCCCCGGCGCGGCGGAGCCGGUGCUGGGCUUUGCGGAGGGAGCAGCCGGUGGUUGGGCUGGGUGAGGUCUGGGCAGUGUCUCUGGAGUGAUCACAUUCCCUGUCCUUAAUGUGCCCUUGGUGACAAAGCUUGUGUUGUCACUAUGAGAAAAGAUUCAGGCCCUAUGGAUUGGAUGCAGCGGCAAAUUAUGAUUCUUUUUCCUUGCUGGAGUUUUUCAGUUCUGUUGAAUGUGUAAUUCCAACUAUGGCAACAAGAGUAGAAAUAAAUUCUACUUUGGCGUCUUUGACGGCAGUCCCUGACCUGGCUGAGCUCAGGGCUGAGGAGAAGGCACAGCGUGUGUAUGUCAGUGUGCUUUCAGAUGCCAGCAACAAGGCAAAGGAGGCCUCAGCAUCCCUGACUCUCGAAGAGAACAAGAAAUUUGGGAAUUCCUUGAGAUCUGCAACGAUGCCCUCGCUGGGAUCAAGGCCGAGACUUUUCCCGAAGCCUUUUUGUAAAGAGAAAUCCUCGGAUACUUUUGCAAACGUCAAACCGCCCGUGCCAGCCUUCAGAUCCAGCAGCAUGGUGAGAAAGACCACUGAGGAAACGUCGUCUGUGAGGGUGUUGAGUGGCAGUGUCCCUCCCUUAGUGGAUCAGAAAGCCAUUGGCACCGAAAAUCAGGCUGGCAGUGACCUGGUGACAAACGUGACUUUCUACACGGGGCCCAGUGCCAACACAGUCAUUCUGUUUGAGCCAGGGGGCCCCGAGCAGACCAAGGUCAGCCUGGCCCAGGAGAAAAAAGCUCCGGAGCGCAGGGGAUUCACUGCUCUGCAAAGCAAGGACCUGCAGGGCUCUGGGAAAGCAGCAGACACAGCCAGGAGUCCUGAUGGGGCUCUCCAUAGGCAUGUGUCGUUCUCCUCCACUCUCAGACCAGAAUCCUGGAACUCCCUCAAAACCAGUGACAAGAAAGAUGCUCGUGAAGUUCAUCCACGGGAGAAGAACAAUGAUGAUGCAAAUAAUCUCAACAGUAAAGCUGAUUUCUCUGUUGAUGUCCAGCAAAGGGCAAAACAUAGACCGGUGUCUGCUAUUUUUCUGGAAUCAUUACGAGAUCAAAAGCAUCACGCUGUGGAAGCUUCCGAGGAAAAAUCUCCUGUGGAGAAAUCUGGGGUUAGAAAACCAAGACCUUUGUCCAUGGACCUGACAGCUAAAUUUGAGCAUAAAGAUCUUUCUUCUUGCAAGAAGGCUGGUUCAUCCCACGAAAGCAAGGAGAAUGUAUCUGUAAUUGCUUUUACUGAUGUGGGUAGUCAUGAUCAGUCUGAAACGGGGCCAAAACAUGAAGAAACUGAAUUGAAUAAAAGCAAUUCUUCUAAAACAAAUCUGAAAUGCAGUAGUCAGGACAUUGGCAUCCUAAAUAAUGGGAAAUACACCUGGGAAACCAAACUUAAAUCUAAAAAUGAACAAAUUGAGACAAAACCAGAAAUAAUUAUUAACUUGCAGGGUCCUGAGAGAAGCCCUGAAACAACCAGUGAAAGCAGAACUAACAAGGGGGGGGAAAGAGCAGAUCAGAAGGAAACUUACACGUUCCUGGGCUGUGAAAGUCCUGCAGCUUCCUCAGAAAAAGAGAAUAAUAUUUUUAGAGGUAGUGUUAAAAAACACAUUAGUUUGUUUACUUUGGAAAAUCCCAGUGCCACAGUGGAUACAGAGAUUCUCCCAGCUGCUGCUGAGAAGGAAAACAGGUGUGUGACCAUCCAGCAGAGGAUCAAGGAGCUGACAACAGAAAAUCCUGAGGUUAAGGGAGGAAAUCUGCGCCGGUCCCUGCAGUCACGGCCACUCUCUGCAGACUUAACCAAGAUGUUUUCAAGUCCAACAUCAGGGGGUGAAGCAAAGCCUGAGAAACCUGGGGAGGCUGGAGCUGACUCGAUCCACGACCUGCAGGAAAAUCCAAAAAGCAAGGAGCUGAAGCUCACCCAUGGCACAGAUGUCACUGAGGCAUUUUCUCCUGGGAAGCCUUGGAAAUCCCGGCAGGUUUUAAAGAUAACCAAUAAACCUGAUCAGGUGGAGAGGAAAGGCAGCUUCCUUGGAGAUGGUCAACAUUUCUCACAGCAGAGUGAGAGUUCUGUCUCAUUCACGAGCAACUUUGAAAAGAAAUUAAACCCAGCUCUUCUGGAAAAGCCCUUCAUUAAAACUGUGCGGGCCACCGUGUUUGAGCACAAUGUGCAGAAGCACAACGUUGUUGCUGAGCAUUGUGGAGCUGAUCCUGCACCAAAAAGGACCCAGGAGCCUGAGGCAAAGCAGGACCUGGUGGUUUCAGGGCACAGCAGACGCUCGUGGAUGGGAGAAGGGGAGGAAAGAACCACUGCAAAGGAGCAUCACAAGCCUGAUCCAUCAAAACAUCCAGCACAUGUAGAGAAAAGUCCAAAACCAGCUCCUUCAAGUGAAGACAAGAAAAUGAGUCCAGGAGUUGUCUUAGAAAAAUCUUUGGUUGAGAAGAGUGAAAAACCCACUCCCAAAAAUGUAGAAGAUUCUCAAAUUUACCAAAGAAUAGAGCCCAGGUAUGAAAUCUUUCAGACUUGUGGUGAGAGGGCUCUUAGUGAAGCCAUCGCAAUGGCUCCUGAGAAAAAGGCCAUGACACUCAGAACUAGAAAAUCAUCUGUGAAAGAGAAUAAAACUGAUGAGGAUGUUGUACCUACAGGGCAGUCAGUUAAGACAAGUAGUCACACUCUUUACUUGAAAGAAGAUAAUGUUACUUCAGAAGCCAGAGAGGCAAAAGUUCUCACAAGCAAGGCUGCGUUGAGAGAACCUGCUGGUUUUCUCUCCAGUGAAUGCACUUUACCUGAACAGAAAAGAGACUCUGAUAAAACUGAUCCUGAGCCACUGUUCAUAGCUGAGAAAUCACCUUAUUCCACAAACAAAAGUAAAGGUUUGGGAAUGAGUGAAAAAGUCAGCAAGCUACAUGCUGAAAUUAAAGGUGAUAAGAGUGAAGUGUCUUCUAUAGAGAAAUCAGAGAGGAUUAAUGUUGUGAAAUGCUCUUCUGAGAAAAGGAGUUUCAGGGCAGGUGGGACAGACAUCCAUGAAUUCCGAACCAACUUGGAUCGUGAAGUGAUUUCCACAAGUGUCCACAAACACGGGGCUCAGGCUUCAGUGCUUGCAAGUGGGCAGUAUUUUAAAUCCUCCAGUAGCCACCCCCCUGAUACAAAAGGACUGAAUGUUACUAAAGAGGAAUCUGGGGCCUUUGGGUUGAGGAAAAGUCUGGAGUUAAACUGCAAAGAGCAAGACUUCAGCUUGGCUUGUACAGCUCCUGAAAACAACGAGAAACUCCGAGGAGCAGAUCCAGAAGACAAAGUCAGGAGAAGCAAAAGUAGCGUUUCUGACUUGAAGAUCUCUGAAAGGUGGAGGAGGAGGACCUUGCCUCAGGAGUCACUCAAGGUGGAAGAAGUUGUGUGGCUCACUCCUGAAAAUAUCAAGAAGCUGAGCCGGGCAGAUUCAUUGCAAUUGAAUGAAAAUUUACUUAAAAAGAAAAGCAAAAAUAUCAAAGAUGGCGUGGAGGGGAGUGAGGCUAACCAAGCUGUUCUUGGCAGUCCUGAUGAUUACAUGAAACAUCAGAGUUCUGUCUUUGAGCCAAAGGCAACUUAUUUUGCAGUGACUUAUCAGAUUCCUGGUAUCAAAAAAGAGAAAAGCUUUGUUGGUGCUCCCAGUGCAAGUGAAAUUAAUACGGUCUCUAGUUCAAGCGAGGCAGCAGCAAUUAAUCUGGACCCUGUUUUUCCUGGAAGGUCCAAACCUUUAUUGCAGCAACCAAAUAAAAAUGUGACAAGUUCAACUUGUAGAGAAGACUCCUGGGAAGCACGUAUGAGCAAGGAUUGGGUCAAAGAAGAUGAAAAAGAUGCUGUUUCCUCCAAAGAUGUUGCAUUUGGUAAUUUUCCUGCGUCUAGGAAAGAUAAUCAACAGCAUCACGAAAAAGGUCUGGAUCAUUCUAAAGAGAAAAUUAUAGAUGUUGAUGCUUUCCUGUUAAAACAUGAUCUGGAAAGUGCAGCUCAAGCUGAUCUCAAGAGUGGCAGAAGGAAAAUCUCCUCUUACCACGAGCCCCGGUCCCCGCCGCGUUCCGCGCAGGUGCGUAAGGACAGUGAGCUGUGCCCCCAGAAAAGGAGUGACAAUAAUUCUGAUCUGCCUGGAAGGAAAGCUGAGGAUGGGUACAGAUCCCAGAUUCUCGAUAUUGAUGCGCUUAUGGCAGAAUAUAAAGAAGAAUCGGCAAGGGCCAGUAAAGUUCAGGAGAAGCUUUCUGAAGAUCUUGGCUCGCUGAGUAGGGAGAGAUCAAAGAACAAAAGAAAUGUGUCGGAGAGAAUGACUCUUACCUACAGCUGGAAUGAGUGGAAGAGUGGAUCAGACCACUAUUCAGUUAAUAACAAACCAGGUGAACGUGCAGAAGAGCAGCACAGGCCAGAGAAACUAAUCCUAAAUGAAAAGAGCAAAGAGAAGCUGGAAUUACGGAGCCCUGAAUUUGAUAAGCAGAAGUCCAAGGACAGAAAGGUCAGCCCUCCUUACUGGGGAAGCCCCAGCAGCAUUUUUCCAGAGAAAUUUGUAAAUUCACCUGUGGAAUUUGCUAGGAAGAAAACUUUCAUUGUUGAUGAGGACGAGGAAGUGAACUUGACCUCCAGAAAUCAGGGUGCAAAAUUUGUAAUUGAAAAGGUGCAGCCCAUAAAUGCAGUGAGUACAGAGCAGAGGCUGGAAGUCAAUCUGGCCUCCAAGUUGUCCCUGAAGGCUGAUGAUGGGGUCUUGCAGAAGAAGUUGGUGACAAAAGAACAGUUCCUGGAGGUGUCUCCAGAGGGCGAUUGGAGCAAAAACAUAGUGAGGAGCUCUACACUGAGAAGCAAAGACAGCUCAAAUAAAAUGGGUGAGGGAGACUCCUUCAAAAGUAAGAGUGAUUGGAAGGGCUACAUGUCUGGGUUUGGGACUGUCCCCGCGGAUCUCAGGCGAUCCUACUCGGAGAAAUGCCGCCAAGGGAGGGACAGCCUGCCCCUCCUGCAGGAGAUGAGGGCGAGGAAGGACCUGCAUCGAUCCCGGCCCAGCUUCCCCUUGGAAACUGUGGAUAACUCGUGGAAACACAAGGUGUCAGCUCAGUCAGAUCCAUUCUUCCAUGAGGAUAAAAAGGCUCCCAGGAAAGAGUGGAGCAAGCAGAGCUCAGACAAAAUAGAGGGAACAGACUUUUCCUCAGUGUCUACACAGAGGAGCCACCACAGUUUCUACAAGGAGAGAAGAGCAGAUUUUGGGAUGGACCAGCUGAGGCAGUGCUUCUCCAGGCAGCCGCCGGGGGCGAAGGACACGGACACGCUGGUGCAGGAGCCCGACAGCCAGUACGGCACCUGGAGCGAGCAGCGGCACAGCGGCGACAGCUUUGUGGGAGAAUCUCCUUGCCUGGACAAUGAGGUGGUGUCCGGGCGGAAGCAGCCCGCGGGCAGCCACCCGUCCUCGCUGUCCUCACAGACUGAGCCUCCCUCCCUGCCUGAGCACCAUGACUUCUCCAAAGAGCAAAGGAGCACCAGCCUGGACCGUUCCAGCACGGACAUGGACUCCACUGAUGGCACUGAUGUGCCUGCUCCAGGGGACACACUCCCUGAGGACAAGAGUUACUUCUCCUUCAUUGAUCACACAGCUGUCCUGGACUCCAGUGCUCUGAAGACUCGGGUGCAGCUGAGCAAGAAGCGCCGGUGCCGGGCGCCCGCGUCGCACUCGCUGCGCAGGAGCAGAGGGCUGGACAUGGAGAACAGGUUUUCCUUGACAGAAGAGUCAGAUAAUGGCUGGAUGUUCAAAGAUUCCACAGAAGAGAAGAAAACUAUGCAACAGGAAGAUUCUGAGGAGGAAGACAAGAUCCAGCACACUCCAAGGUCAUCUUCUGUGCAAGCCCAGAGACUGCCUGUGUUCCCAGGGAUGGAUCACUCUGUUCUCAAGGCCCAGCUGCGGAAAAGACAGGAGUCUGAGAGCACUGGUGACAUCGGCUCUGCUCAGCUCUUCAAAUCCCCCAAAGCACAGCUCGGCACUCCCGGCAGCAGAGUGCUGCCCUCCAGUGUGGAAAAGGAGGACAGGUGAGAGAAUCCCAGCUCGUGCUCUUCUUGGUGGAAGGAAAAAAUAAUGCAACAAGCUGUCAGAAGAAAAGUCUCCUCAGUGGCUGAAGGAGCUGAAAUCAAAGAAGAGACAGAGCCAUUAUGAGAAUCAAGUUUGAAAAGGUACUUGGACAGUGAUUCUAACUGGGAGAAGAUAAAGAAGUUUAACAGAAGCCUUAACUCAUCUGAACCUAAACCCCCAUGUCAUGUUGCUGCUGUUUGCUUCCUGCCUCAACUGCUCUGUGCAUGGUGCCUUCCUGUUUUGUGGAGAAAAGCUGCUUCAGUUCAUAGUCAAAUACAAAGCUGUGUCUGUCAGCUCGGGGGGACAGUGGCACUUGAGAGCUGCCUGCCAGGAGAACCCCCCUGGGUCACGGUUAGCACUUCAGAAAGUCAUGGAAAACAGAGAAAUUUGGGAGUGCUGUGAUCCAGGGAACGCCCCUCGCUGUGGAACAGACUCUGUAGGUGUUCACCUCUGGGAGUUGUGUCUGGCUGGGCUUUGUGUUUGUUUAUGAAAAUAAUAAUUUUAAUCAAAUUUAUCUUUUUUUUUUUUGUGAAAAAAAUAGUAAGCUCCUAUUUAGAAUGAAAUUUGUGGAAGGUGAGAGUGGAAGAACAAAUCAUGUUUACUGCCAUAUUGAAAAAGGAAACUUGAUUAUUUUUUGUAAAAUGUAUUUUUGAUUGGCUUGUAUUUACAUGUGAUCUGCUGACCUGGCAGAUGGAGAUAAUUUUUAGAUGAACAAAAUGUUAACUUUUGUCACUCUUGAAGUGGUAUAUUCUGUGUUUUGUCAGCAUGUGGAAUAAUUGCUUCAUUGGAAUGUCUUUCCUAAAAAUGAUCAAGCAAUAAUGUCAACCAGUUCUCUUUAAAAAAAAAAAAAAAGUAAAAAUAUGUAAAUACUGUUUUUAUAACAAAAAAGGAAGGGAAGAGGGAGGAUGUUACACUCAUAUCAGGGUUCCAGUUAAUUGUUGAAUGUCACUUUAAUAGCAGUUCAGAUAGUCCCACUUCAUAUUUUUAUUUGUUAAUCUGUAAAUACCAGGUUUAAGUUUUUAUUUUUAUGCUGAUUUUGUGGGAUAACCUAAAUGUGAUCUUCAGUUUCUCAGAUGAUUUCCUGUCUUUCCUUUGGCAAGAUGUGCUGAUAGCAGAGUAGAGCUCUCCUGGACCACACGGGUGUUUGGGUAUCCCUAAUUCUCAGAUAUUCCCUGUCUCUGGCUCAUUCUGAAACACCGACCCCCAUGGCCAUGGAGGACAGACUCGAUUCUUGCCCCAGAUAAGUGCUCUUUCAGUAACCUUUAAAGUCUAGUAGCCCAGGGAGGGAGGUGACCCCAGGUUGUUCCUCAGGCUCAACCAGGAAAACGUGGAAGAGGGAAAAGGAGAGUGGAGAGCUCUCCUCACCUGGCAGAGCUCCUUGGGCUGCACUCCCCACGUCCUGCUGAGGGGCUCCUCUGGAUACAAACCAUAAAGCACCAGCACUUCAGCUCCUUUUCCUUUUUGUCUUUUUUUUUUUUUCCCAAUCAGCGUUUUGGGAGCGCGGCUCCCAUGGGGCCUGCCCAGGCCAGUGUCUGUCAGGCUUGGAGCUGCCAAAACCAUGUGCCAAUUCACCUCAUGGAGGAGUCACAGGGGGGCAUUUGCAGUCCCAGUCUGCAGGAAAUAGCAGCAGGAUGAAAUAGCAGCAGGGUGGCAGGAGACAAGUCCCAUCUGCACAUCUCCCGAAUCUUAUUCCGGUGGCAGCUCCCUGUGCUCCCUGGAGAUGAGAUGGAGACAUCUGUCUGAUGUAAAAGUCUUUUCCCUGUUGCUUUGCCCCGUUUCUCAUGGGAGCUGUUGCCACUGUUAUUUUGGCAGCCCCUCUGCUCCCCACAGAGCAGUGAUCCCCAGGAUUCUGGUGGAAUUUUGGGGAUGGGCCAUGUCAGUGCAGCCACCACCAUUGACCAGCUCCUUUUAAAACCUUGCACAGAUUUCCUUCCCUCUCCUUUAGAUGAUGGUGGAGAAGGUGGCUCUUGGUGUGUUUUUGGGGGUAUAUUCCUGUGGCAGCACCCAAGGGUUCCGUGGUGUGUGACACCCCUGGGCCAGCCUGGCAGCAGGUGCAGGUGAGGAGGAUGAUGGUGGCUGUUCUCACUCACAUCAGGUGGGGCCUCCCAUGUCCAGAAAUCAGUCCCUGCUCACAGGAACUUUCACACAGGCUGCGUUUUCCACUUCCACAGGUGACAGUGUUGUGUUCCCAGCAGCUGGAGGAUUUAUUGGUUCUUGGUCUAGGCCAGAAAUUCUGUAACUGUUUGUGUGGAGGAAACUGAGGGGAUUGACACGAGGUUUCCACACAGCCCUUGAAUGUGUUUGCAUUUCCACAUCUGCUUGGACAAUGCACUGAAAUUACUGUAUUGAGUAGUUUAACCUACUACUGAGAAAUGUUUAAUGCUUAAAUGUCUAAUUAAAGAGCAUCUUUAGAAUGUUGUUGAAUGGGAAAGUGUUUUUUCUGCUCUGUUAUUUCUUUAUAUUGUACAUGGAUUAAAUAUCUACUUCCUUCUCUUCGGGUUAUCACUCUGUAAUAAAAGAUAUAUAAAUAUGUUAUUACUUCUUAAAUGAUAGAACAGACUGUAAUACACUUUAUAUAAUUCUAUUUUAAUUCCAAA